AAAUUGAAGAGUUUGAUCAUGGCUCAGAUUGAACGCUGGCGGCAGGCCUAACACAUGCAAGUCGAGCGGUAGCACAGAGAGCUUGCUCUCGGGUGACGAGCGGCGGACGGGUGAGUAAUGUCUGGGAAACUGCCUGAUGGAGGGGGAUAACUACUGGAAACGGUAGCUAAUACCGCAUAACGUCGCAAGACCAAAGAGGGGGACCUUCGGGCCUCUUGCCAUCAGAUGUGCCCAGAUGGGAUUAGCUAGUAGGUGGGGUAACGGCUCACCUAGGCGACGAUCCCUAGCUGGUCUGAGAGGAUGACCAGCCACACUGGAACUGAGACACGGUCCAGACUCCUACGGGAGGCAGCAGUGGGGAAUAUUGCACAAUGGGCGCAAGCCUGAUGCAGCCAUGCCGCGUGUAUGAAGAAGGCCUUCGGGUUGUAAAGUACUUUCAGCGGGGAGGAAGGUGUUGAGGUUAAUAACCUCAGCAAUUGACGUUACCCGCAGAAGAAGCACCGGCUAACUCCGUGCCAGCAGCCGCGGUAAUACGGAGGGUGCAAGCGUUAAUCGGAAUUACUGGGCGUAAAGCGCACGCAGGCGGUCUGUCAAGUCGGAUGUGAAAUCCCCGGGCUCAACCUGGGAACUGCAUUCGAAACUGGCAGGCUAGAGUCUUGUAGAGGGGGGUAGAAUUCCAGGUGUAGCGGUGAAAUGCGUAGAGAUCUGGAGGAAUACCGGUGGCGAAGGCGGCCCCCUGGACAAAGACUGACGCUCAGGUGCGAAAGCGUGGGGAGCAAACAGGAUUAGAUACCCUGGUAGUCCACGCCGUAAACGAUGUCGACUUGGAGGUUGUGCCCUUGAGGCGUGGCUUCCGGAGCUAACGCGUUAAGUCGACCGCCUGGGGAGUACGGCCGCAAGGUUAAAACUCAAAUGAAUUGACGGGGGCCCGCACAAGCGGUGGAGCAUGUGGUUUAAUUCGAUGCAACGCGAAGAACCUUACCUACUCUUGACAUCCAGAGAACUUUCCAGAGAUGGAUUGGUGCCUUCGGGAACUCUGAGACAGGUGCUGCAUGGCUGUCGUCAGCUCGUGUUGUGAAAUGUUGGGUUAAGUCCCGCAACGAGCGCAACCCUUAUCCUUUGUUGCCAGCGGUCCGGCCGGGAACUCAAAGGAGACUGCCAGUGAUAAACUGGAGGAAGGUGGGGAUGACGUCAAGUCAUCAUGGCCCUUACGAGUAGGGCUACACACGUGCUACAAUGGCGCAUACAAAGAGAAGCGACCUCGCGAGAGCAAGCGGACCUCAUAAAGUGCGUCGUAGUCCGGAUUGGAGUCUGCAACUCGACUCCAUGAAGUCGGAAUCGCUAGUAAUCGUAGAUCAGAAUGCUACGGUGAAUACGUUCCCGGGCCUUGUACACACCGCCCGUCACACCAUGGGAGUGGGUUGCAAAAGAAGUAGGUAGCUUAACCUUCGGGAGGGCGCUUACCACUUUGUGAUUCAUGACUGGGGUGAAGUCGUAACAAGGUAACCGUAGGGGAACCUGCGGUUGGAUCACCUCCUUACCUUAAAGAA
rnacentral:rRNA from 1 species